AGAGUUUGAUCCUGGCUCAGCUUGAACGCUGGCGGCGUGGUUAAGACAUGCAAGUCGUACGGACGUAGCAAUACGUCAGUGGCGGACGGGUGAGUAAUGUAUCGCUAACGUACCCCAAAAUCUGGGAUAGCUAUCCGAAAGGAUAGGUAAUACCAGAUAAGACCACGGGAAGGCAUCUUCCUGUGCCCAAAGGGAAACCGUUUUGGGAGCGGGCGAUAUCGUAUCAGCUAGUUGGUGAGGUAACGGCUCACCAAGGCAGCGACGCGUAACUGGUCUGAGAGGACGACCAGUCACAUCGGAACUGAGACACUGUCCGGACUCCUACGGGGGGCUGCAGUAACGAAUCUUCCGCAAUGCACGCAAGUGUGACGGAGCGACGCCGCGUGUGGGAUGAAGUCCUUCGGGAUGUAAACCACUGUCAGGGGUUAGAAAGUUCUGAUCAACCCCAGAGGAAGGGGCGACUAAAUCUGUGCCAGCAGUCGCGGUAAUACAGAGGCCCCAAGCGUUAGGCGGAAUCACUGGGCUUAAAGCGUGUGUAGGCGGUUCGGUAAGUACUUUGUGAAAUCCCACGGCUCAACCGUGGAACUGCUUGGUAUACUGCCGAACUUGAACCACCUAGGGGCGAGCGGAACAGAUGGUGGAGCGGUGAAAUGCAUAGAUAUCAUCUGGAACGCCAAUGGUGAAGACAGCUCGCUGGGGGUGUGUUGACGCUGAGACACGAAAGCUAGGGGAGCGAACGGGAUUAGAUACCCCGGUAGUCCUAGCCGUAAACGAUGUCUACUAGAUCGCAGCUUCAUCUGAUGAAGUUGCGGUCGAAGCAAAAGUGCUAAGUAGACCGCCUGGGAAGUACGGUCGCAAGGCUAAAACUCAAAGGAAUUGACGGGGGCUCACACAAGCGGUGGAGCAUGUGGUUCAAUUCGAAGCAAUGCGCAGAACCUUACCUGGGCUUGACAUGCUAGGAUUAUCCCUAUGAAAGUAGGGUACUCUCCGUCAGGAGUGGAACUAGUACAGGUGCUGCAUGGCUGUCGUCAGCUCGUGUCGUGAGAUGUCGGGUUAAGUCCCUUAACGAGCGAAACCUUUGCCCUUAGUUACCAGCGGGUUAUGCCGGGGACUCUAAGGGGACUGCCGGUGUCAAACCGGAGGAAGGUGGAGAUGACGUCAAGUCCUCAUGGCCUUUAUGCCCAGGGCUACACACGUGCUACAAUGGUUGGCACAAAGCGAUCCGAACCCGCGAGGGAUAGGAAACCGCAGAAAUCCAACCCCAGUUCAGAUAGGAGGCUGCAACUCGCCUCCUUGAAGUUGGAAUCGCUAGUAAUCGCGGAUCAGCUACGCCGCGGUGAAUGUGUUCCUGAGCCUUGUACACACCGCCCGUCAAGUCAUGGAAGCCGGAAAUAGCCGAAGUCAUUCCGAUACAGGAGUGCCUACGCUAGGUUCGGUGACUGGGACUAAGUCGUAACAAGGUA
rnacentral:rRNA from 1 species